GGAGGAGCUGCUACUCAAGAAAGAGGAAGAGGCGGGCUUUUCCGACCCCCACGCCCCUGGGAUGGUAAAGCUGCAGCCCACCUCGUCCUGGGGCAGAGUCUCCUUGCCUGCCUGCUUGCAUCGCUCACCAGCGUCCUAUCCUAACACCUCUGUUUCGUGCCCAUCACUUUGUCUCUCGCUGAAUUCCUUCUGCGUGGAGACAUAGAGAACCUCAACCUCAGUGAGUCCAGACGCAGGAGGAGAGCGUUUCCCAGACUCCUUGCCCCUGAGUGAGGAUACGUGCCUGGUUCUGGCCAAGGGGCUGUGGCUGAUACAGCAGGUGUCACUCUGAGUCAAAGCAAAGGAUGUGCAGACAUGAAGUCUCCACGCUCUCUCUUCUUCACCCCUUGUCUCAAGGUGUCAGAGGCACCAGCUUAUGAGGGAUGUAUGAUUGUCAGCACCUCCACUUUACAGAAGAGGACACCUGGGUAUGAUGAUAAGCUGCCCAAGGUCCCAUAUCUGGUGCUUCAUAAUCCUGGCAAAGCCACUAAGCUGAGCAGAGCUGCAGAAAUUCCCUGGCUUUCCUACUGGAAGAUGUCGAUCAAUGAGGGCGCUCGCGGCCUUUGAUGUUAGGCAUCCACGCCCGCUUCUGUAAAGACUUUCGGCUCCACAAGAGAACGGGAAGUCACUGUGAAGAAAGAGGCAGGCGAUGUAACCGGAAAAGCGCAGGUUUGAUGUCAAACAGACCUGCGUGGUUCCACCGCUUUCCGACUGUGUGACACCUCCCCCCCCCCACCACCGGUCCAGUUGCUCUCUGAACCCAAGUCUUGGAAAAUGGAACCAAUAAUACCUGUUCUUCAAGACUGUUCCUGCUGGAAGCUCCAAGAUUCAUCUGAAGGCGUGAUCACAUCCUCAAUGUUGAGUGGACUAUGAACCGGCUGCCAGAGACAGGGUUCCAAGCCGGGCCAGGCCCAUCCCAAUGCCCACCCGAAAAGACGGGACAGAGGAAAGAAAGAAACAAAAUCCUGGGGCUCCAUUGGCUUUCUUUUUGACUCCAGCUGAAGUUGCUGCAUAGUGUGGCCUUGCCAGUCCUCGCCUUGAAAAGGCUGGAAGCGACUGCCGUGAUGGAUCAUCUAAUCCCACAGCCUCAUUCUGCAGAGGACCCCGAGCCUCGACUUGGCCAAGGUCACACAGCUGGGCCACACCCAUGGCGUAUGGUUUUCACAUGGAAUCGGAGCUGCAGUUGCCGGCCUAUGCCACAGCCACAGCAAGGUAGGAUCUGAGCCAAGUCUUUGACCUACACCACAUCUCACGGCAAUUCCAGAUCCCUGGACCCACUGAGUGAGGCCAGGGAUUGAACACGCACCCUUAUGGAUACUAGUUGGAUCACAACGGAACUCCCUGAAAAAUCAAGGUCUUUAAAGCAAUUCAUCAACCCCACCAACAUCUUGGCAUAAGAAAAUUGAUUCUGUAAGUCAAAAGAACUUAUAACAUGGUAUAUUGGGAGGAUGGCAGGGCUUGGUAAGUGGUAGCAACGCAGCUGGUAGAUUUUUCUUUGUUGUGUCCUUGUCCUUACGCUCUUUUAGCCACAUUUUCAUUCAGGAUUCUUGGGUUGGAAGCAACAGAAAUGGACUCUUUUGGCCUUAAGCAAAAAGAAAAUUUGUUGAAAGGGCAUGGAGGAGUUCAUAGGAUUGACUAGAAGUUUGGAGAAGUAGGCUCAGGAGUCAAGGCAUUUAUAGAGGAGGGUAGGGUAGAGAGGUGAUAAAAAUAAUGCAACGGUCUUAUUUGGAAAUUGUACUGGAAUGUAAGAGUUUCAUCUUUCCUCCUCCCUCCCUCUCUCUCUCUUUCUGCCACUUCAUUCGAGAUUCCAAUUUCAGCGAAGGAGCAUCCAAUUGGCCUGUCUUGGUCAGAUUCCCACCACCCCCAUGGUUAGGGGAACACAGCAUAUUCGAAAUGGCAUUCCCACGAGGUACAUUCCAUGGAAAAGUAAUACCACAAAGAAAAUAUGGACACAGUUAUCAAAGGAAGAUAAAACAGGUGCUGGGUAGCCAACAAUAGCCUAUUUCCACUAUAUCCUUUAAAAAAAAUCCCAGUAACUCUUCUAUGAUUACUGAUUUUUCAGGAGAGAAAUUUAACAAUGGAAGAGUGUAUACAUAGUGAUGAAAAGAAUGGGAGGAUUUAUAAGAUACAAGUCAUUUUCUUUGAGUUGUGGGACAAUGGUUGGGUCCAUUUUUCUUCUGUUGUUUUUUCCUAUAGAGCACAUUUAUAACCUUUUAAAAGUAAACUAUAUUUUCUACUUUAAGAUGAGUGAAAUGAGGGGGGAGUGUCCCUUUUGACUGGGGACAUAGUCACUAGUUACUCUAUGUUAAUAACAGAAGCAUACGUUCCUCUCGAGGGGCAACAGUGUUCUUAUACAUUAAACUCUCAACAGAAACCAAAAGAACCACCACCAAAAAAAUCCCACCCAGUUUGGAAAGGACUUGUGCUUGUGGGUCGGGGGCAGAAGGAAGCAAUUUCCCUCCAUUUUCUGCCUGAGCAGGCCUUUUGCACUUUGAUAUUCGUUUCACUAAUAAGGUGUUUCAUUAUUUCUCCCACAAAAAGAGCUGGUGCUGUUAUGAGAUGCUGUUGAAGACUCUGGUUUGCCCAGAUGUGCCGCAGUGAAAACAGCCUUUCUCUGACGUGCAUGACUUGUGAGGAUGAUGGGACCUGUGGGAAGAGGGGAUCCUUUUUCAGAGUUUGGAAAGAGAGACAAAAUAACGCCGUCUGCCCUGCAUGGCUGACAGAAACACAUUCUUCCCUAAUCAGUGGGUCACUCACUUCCGCACUAUGUUGCAGGGAAGCAUCAUCUGAUUCCAAGCCUAAGGCUGGGUCAUCCGCGGCACUGACUUCUCCCGACCCUUCUCCGAGCUUCCUGUGCCAGUUUUCAUCAUCAAAUUUCUCUGCUCCCUUAGACCAGCGGAAAAGAAGUUAUGAGCUCUCUCCAUCAUUCGCCGGUCUCUUCGGCCCUUCCUCCUUUGAAGUUUUCUUAUUCGGGGUCUUUUUUCGCUUCUUCUCCAUGUUUCAUCCUCUCUCACUGUAACCUUUUUAUCUCUGGAGAGUUCUCUCUGUGCCUCUGGGCCCUUCUCUUUCUAGUUGGUUCUCAGAACCCAUUCUGGGAUUCUAUUUCAGUCCAUCCGUCUCUCCAACAGACCACGGGUGAAACCAGGGCCGGUAAUCAGUCCCAGCUGCUGGAGGCGUCCGCUCUGGGUCGGCCCCACGUUUGUGGGCUGAUGUUUUGCUUCCCAUAAUGCUCUGGGAGUACUGCUGCUCAGAGCUUGGCUUGUGCUUUUUCUUCUCCUGCCAAGGGGCCCUGCUUCCAAAACCCAGAUUAGAAAACAUGGGACGUUAAAAAAAAAAAAAAAAA
rnacentral:lncRNA from 1 species